AUUACACAUAGUUUGGAGAUUAUUUAAAGUAUAUGGAAGGAUGUGUGUGAGUCAUACGCAAAUGCUACACCAUUUUAUCUAAGGGACUUGAGCAUCCAUGGAUUUUGG